rnacentral:rRNA from 1 species
AGCGAACGCUGGCGGCAGGCCUAACACAUGCAAGUCGAACGAACCUUUCGGGGUUAGUGGCUGACGGGUGAGUAACACGUGGGAACGUGCCUUUAGGUUCGGAAUAACUCAGGGAAACUUGUGCUAAUACCGAAUGUGCCCUUCGGGGGAAAGAUUUAUCGCCUUUAGAUCGGCCCGCGUCUGAUUAGCUAGUUGGUUGAGGUAAUGGCUCACCAAGGCGACGAUCAGUAGCUGGUCUGAGAGGAUGAUCAGCCACAUUGGGACUGAGACACGGCCCAAACUCCUACGGGAGGAAGCAGUGGGGAAUCUUGCGCAAUGGGCGAAAGAAUGACGCAGCCAUGCCGCGUGAAUGAUGAAGGUCUUAGGAUUGUAAAAUUCUUUCACCGGGGAAGAUAAUGACGGUACCCGGAGAAGAAGCCCCGGCUAACUUCGUG